rnacentral:rRNA from 1 species
GAUGAACGCUGGCGGCGUGCCUAAUACAUGCAAGUCGAGCGAACAGACGAGGAGCUUGCUCCUCUGACGUUAGCGGCGGACGGGUGAGUAACACGUGGAUAACCUACCUAUAAGACUGGGAUAACUUCGGGAAACCGGAGCUAAUACCGGAUAAUAUAUUGAACCGCAUGGUUCAAUAGUGAAAGACGGUUUUGCUGUCACUUAUAGAUGGAUCCGCGCCGCAUUAGCUAGUUGGUAAGGUAACGGCUUACCAAGGCAACGAUGCGUAGCCGGCCUGAGAGGGUGAGCGGCCACACUGGAACUGAGACACGGUCCAGACUCCUACGGGAGGCAGCAGUAGGGAAUCUUCCGCAAUGGGCGAAAGCCUGACGGAGCAACGCCGCGUGAGUGAUGAAGGUCUUCGGAUCGUAAAACUCUGUUAUUAGGGAAGAACAAAUGUGUAAGUAACUAUGCACGUCUUGACGGUACCUAAUCAGAAAGCCACGGCUAACUACGUG